GAUGAAGAACGUAGCGAAAUGCGAUACGUAGUGUGAAUUGCAGAAUUCAGUGAAUCAUCGAAUCUUUGAACGCACAUUGCACCUCUCGGUAUUCCGGGAGGUAUGCCUGUUCGAGCGUCAUUUGUACCCUCAAGCUCUGCUUGGUGUUGGGUGUUUGUUCCGCCUCUGUGUGUGAACUCGCCUCAAAACAAUUGGCAGCCGGCGUAUUGAUUUCGGAGCGCAGUACAUCUCGCGCUUUGCACUCACAACGACGACGUCCAAAAGUACAUUUUUACACUCUUGACCUCGGAUCAGGUAGGGAUACCCGCUGAACUUAAGCAUAUCAAUAAGCGGAGGA
rnacentral:misc_RNA from 1 species